UACGAGUUGUUGUCCUUGAUGGGGUUCAUGGUGACCCAAGAUGGACAGCAAUCGAACGAUGUUUUGCCCGUUUUGUGGACAACAUAUGAGGCGCUUAACGCGGUUUUGUUUUUCGGUUGGUCGGUCUUUAGAGUGUUUAAGGGGCAUGGACGAGGUCGACGGACCAGAUAUGCUGCAGCACUGCAUAGAAUGUUUUAAUGAGACACUCGUACGCUGUAAUCGUGGACAUGAUGUCAUGUUUACACGGUGGUCACAUCAGCUCGAGGUCUCUGAAAAGCAAACUGAAUGGAGCCGGGUUAUAUGGCAGAAAGGAUUACUCCUCUACAAACGCCAUAAUUAGGGCCAUCCGACUGGAACUUCGUGGACCUGGACAGCUGUUUGGCUCCCGCACGAUGUGGCAGGUACUCAAAUAAAUGUACAAUCUGCGAGUGAAGAGGGAUCGCGUGAUGAAUUUGCUCCGGGAGUCAAUCCUCGAGGGUGCGAGCGGAGAGCACGCAGAAGGUUUAUCAGAGGACCCUUAACUUAAGCCAUUUGGUUUGGCUCUUUCCGGCUGAUUUUCACGUAAAGUGCUGUGGCUUGCAUGUGGACCAACAAAUAAUGACCCAGGUGUGAUCGCUCACUAUUUUCUGUCAUGUGUGCGAAACCUCGGUGUCAUUCCCAUGAGACUGAGGACUGAUUGUGGCACGGAGAACAGGACCAUGACCGCAAUUCAGUGCACCCUACGGCACCACCACAAUGACCACUACUCUGGAGCGUCCAGCCACAUGUAUGGCUCAUCCACAAACAACCAGAGGAUUGAGUCCUGGUGGUCCAUAUUCAGAAAGGGAAGAUUGCUAUAGGAGUCAGUUCUGGAUGGAGCUAUUUGCAGACCUUAGAGAUGCCGGAUACUUCAACGGGAGUCAUGAACAUCAGUGUCUACUGAGAUAUUGCUUUGGUGAUGUUAUUCAGAAGGACUUGGAUGAGUGUGUUAGAUUGUGGAACAAUGACAGGAUUCGCCCCUCCAGAACAGCAUCAUGUCCAGGAGGAGUGCCCAGUGAGCUCGACUACUUACCACACAGGUUUGGCUCCAGAGACUGUGGAUUUAAAAUUGAAGAGGCUGAACUGGAUGUCUUUCCCAAGGCUCGCCUGACAAGAGCUCCAUGUGGGGACGCAAACGUGCAGGAGUACUUGGACUUAGCCUUGGAGAACAAUCAGUUUCAGAAGCCAGAGUACUGGCAGUCUGCAACUGAACUGUAUAUAUAUAUGAAUAAAAAUAAAGCAAAGAAUGAGCAUUUAUUACAUUUUUUUAAUAGAUAACAAAAUCUCUUGAAAUACAUUCCCUUUCCGGGAAAUGGGUUAUUGGGUUUCAAAGCGUAAGUCCCUACUAACCAACCAAACCAAAGCCACAAAACACUUCCAAACCACUGUGGUGUUUCAGUGUUUAUGAAGAAGAAUUCUACAUAUUAUGGCUACUAAAUGUUAAGUCUGUGGUUAAACAGGCUUUCUGUUAGAUGGUAUUUUUUGUUAUAUAAUCAUACAAGACGUUGGUCGAGAGGCACUGAACACCCUGGACAAUCAAUCAGGCUUAGGCCCUGACAAACAGCAGACCUGGUCAUAAAUGAACAAUGGCUCAUAACAGUUCAUUUAUUAAUGAACUGCUCUAAGAAAAGUUCAGUUUUGUGAUGAUCCUGUACAUGUGUAAAUAAAGACACUUUAAUUCAGCCAUCAAGCUUCUCUGCU